rnacentral:rRNA from 1 species
AACGAACGCUGGCGGCAUGCCUAACACAUGCAAGUCGAACGGGCAGGGGCAACCCUGUCAGUGGCGGACGGGGGAGUAACGCGUGGGGACCUGCCUCACAGUUCGGAAUAACCGCGGGAAACUGCGGCUAAUACCGGAUGCGGCCUGCGGGCCAAAGGGGCAACUCGCUUCGAGGGGGGCCCGCGUCCGCUUGGCUAGUUGGCGGGGUAACGGCCCACCAAGGCGACGAUCGGUAGCUGGUCUGAGAGGAUGAUCAGCCACACUGGGACUGAGACACGGCCCAGACUCCUACGGGAGGCAGCAGUGGGGAAUAUUGGACAAUGGGGGCAACCCUGAUCCAGCAAUGCCGCGUGAGUGAUGAAGGCCUUCGGGUUGUAAAGCUCUUUUGGCGGGGACGAUGAUGACGGUACCCGCAGAAUAAGCCCCGGCUAACUUCGUGCCAGCCGCCGCGGUAAGAC